rnacentral:lncRNA from 1 species
UCACUCCAAUUAAACUUUAGGCUCCAGUCAGACCUUCAGCCAAAUGGAAAAAAAAACUAGGGGAUAAGGGAGGUAGUUGGAGCAAGAAAAUGUUAUUAGUUGAAACCUUACGGGACCUUCCUCCCUUAGUGAGUCUGUUGGCUAAAGGUUCUCUGGCUUCGUGAAUUAGAAUCGGAUACUGUUUCCAAGUUAGCAAAACCAACUCUACCCCAGCACCCCACGAGGAAGAAUGUGGAAGGAUCUCCCAUUGGCCGGUUGGGGCAAAAGCCUGAGGCAAUCUUUCAUCCCCUUUUGCCAAGGCGAGACUUUCCCAGUGACGGUGAUGUAGUUGGCCACUCUGACUAUGGGUGGACUCGGGUGUAGACCUCUGAAGCUGAGAUCACACGAAAACCUGGCCUCCCCGCCAUGUAGCUGUUGGAGAGUAGAAAAAUAGAGCACGCCUGAUGUUUCUAAAUGAGAAGACUUUCAAUAGUAAUGAAGAAUCCAUGGCACUCUCCUCACCCUCAAACACAUGGCAGUCAUUCACAUACAGGCCCCAAAGCCACUGUUAGUGCUGCAGUAGCUCCUGUGGACAUUGGAAAGCCCGGAGAGGGCGUGGAAGAAAUCAGCUGGCCCCCGGCAGGUUCUCUGGGGUUUUGUGCCCAAGGCUCCUGGAGCCCUAAAAACUUUCAAAAGUUAACUCCCCACGUCCCCAUCCUGCUUGGGUUUCUGGACUUUUCUGAGGCACCGGCAGAGGGGUCUCGUUGCUCCCUUGAGUGUAGGGGCAGCCCUUUAACCUGGCUCCUUGAGUCCCUGCUUUUUCUGCUUCUGUUGCCUUCUUCCUCGUCUUCCUCUCUCUCAAUAUCUCCCUCUCUUUGUCCCUCCCCAGUUCCUGACCUGGCCAUCCCGGGGUGCCCUUGACCAGCCCCGUGUCUCCUCAGGGUGUCCCAGCACCAGCCUGGCACAGAGUGGGGCUCAGUUAGAGUAUGUGGGAUGUUGGUUUCGCCAGGUGAGUGAAUGAAAGGACUCGACCACCACAGCUGAGCCACUAGCUGGGCCAUGCGAAGAGUUCUAGGUGCAAAGGCUGGAGGGUGGAAUUCAUUUUUGAGAGGUGUGUGAGCAGCUUCCGACCCCUGCCCCAUUUGAACGGGGGCCUUGCUGGUCGCGUCCCUGCAUUCACCCGCGCGGCCAUCCCGUCAUCCAACAGUUGAUCCUAACUGAGCACGCCCACGGCCCUGGUCUGGCCUGGGCACCGGCCACCGUAGCCCAUCCCUUGAUGGCCUCUGUGUCCCCAGGAGGGCGGGCCGGGGGGUUGCCCAGGGGCUGGAGCAGUGGACUGUGGCUCCAUAGAGGUAGGCCGGAGGGUGUGAGGGCAGAUUCAAGCUAUCCCCAGGGCUCUGCUCUGGUCGGAGCCAGCCCCUUCUCCCUCUCUGCCUUCCCCGCCCCAUUCCUGAUGCUGAACUGUUCUGGACCCCUGGCCCUGAGUCUCUCAGGACCAAAGUGGGCACGGGAACAGCUGUAGUGUGUGCCCCCCCGGGCUUUGGCCACAGGUCUCCCUCUCGAGGUGUGGUUGUGACUGCGACCCUUCCCUUGCCGUGAUGCCUUCCUCCCCCGGGGCUUGGUCCAGCUCCUUCACUCUCUAGCAGCUGCUGGGGCCCACCUCCCAUGCCGAGGACCAGCAGGGGAAACCUCCAGGGAGCAUCUGCAGGCUCUGCUUCUGCCCGGCUGCUGGCUUGCUCUCCCUGGUGGCUCUCCAGCGGCCAGCUUCCUCACCCACCCGGCACUCCGCUUUGCUCUGUCUCCUGAGGUGGGCCUGACCAACCUCCCCUUCUCUGCCUCAGUCCCUGGGCUCCAGGGCUCAGCUCCACAGCCCUCUGCCUAGCAGGCUGGUUCUCCCUGCCAAGCCCAUACCUGUGGUCACCUGGCCCUCCUGUGGUCUGAGUACCACUCCCCUGCCCCAGGAGCCACUCCCACUCCAGCUGCCUGUUUCCAGCAGGUUCCCAGUGCCCCCGACAAGCCCCUGCUGGUGUCUCCAUCUCCUGCCAAGCAUCCUCCAGUGCCUCCUCCUGUGGGCCUGGCCUCAGGGCUAUGGACAGACUCCUGUCCCAUCCCAGAGACCCCUCGUGAUCGUGCCCUGGUGGGUGUUGCCCCCGCCUGCCUUUGCCUCCGCCGUGGCCCUGAGAGUCCUGGGCUCUGCCCCGCCCGGUCCCUUGCUCCCCACUCAGUUCUGGAUUUGGGGCUGCCCCUAACCCAGCCCGUUGCUGCUUUGCACCUUUUCCUGUCAUUGGGCAUCCCCCAGUAGUCACCCCACUCCACCGAAAAGUAAACUGCAGGCACGUGGGCCGUGGCCCGGCUGGGUCGGCUGAAGAACUGCGGAUGGAAGCUGCGGAAGAGGCCCUGAUGGGGCCCACCAUCCCGGACCCAAGUCUUCUUCCUGGCGGGCCUCUCGUCUCCUUCCUGGUUUGGGCGGAAGCCAUCACCUGGAUGCCUACGUGGGAAGGGACCUCGAAUGUGGGACCCCAGCCCCUCUCCAGCUCGAAAUCCCUCCACAGCCACGGGGACACCCUGCACCUAUUCCCACGGGACAGGCUGGACCCAGAGACUCUGGACCCGGGGCCUCCCCUUGAGUAGAGACCCGCCCUCUGACUGAUGGACGCCGCUGACCUGGGGUCAGACCCGUGGGCUGGACCCCUGCCCACCCCGCAGGAACCCUGAGGCCUAGGGGAGCUGUUGAGCCUUCAGUGUCUGCAUGUGGGAAGUGGGCUCCUUCACCUACCUCACAGGGCUGUUGUGAGGGGCGCUGUGAUGCGGUUCCAAAGCACAGGGCUUGGCGCACCCCACUGUGCUCUCAAUAAAUGUGUUUCCUGUCUUAAC